rnacentral:misc_RNA from 1 species
UCACCCCUCAAGCCCUGGCUUGGUGUUGGACUUUAGUUAUAGCUUUGCCUAUCAACUGGUCUCAAAGAUAGUGACGGCGCCCCAGAGGGAACCGGGUACGAGGAGCUUUUUACUAAGCAUGUAUCUGGGACGACUCUGAUGGGCGGACGGUCUUGUUAUACUUUUUACCUAAG